AUUCGUGGAAGCGUCGUCAAACAGUUCUUGGAAGUGGCUGGGGCAGCAACGGCGGCGUAGCAGGGAAAAAAUCGGCGGCGACACGGUGGCAGCAGCUUCGUCGAAAAGUGGCGUCGACGUCGGCAGCAUCGCAGCACCAGACGGGUGUCAGGACGGCGACUCUCAUAGGGCCGCGCCAUUUCCAUGGAACCUCAAUAUGGAAAGGCGACGGCGGAGGCAUGGCCAGAGACUGGAGGUGCGGGCAGAGGUGUAGAAGAUCCGUGGGCGUGGCAUAGUAGGCGUCAGGUCGUCGCCAUGGUCAAGAUGCGUAUCCCAAAGAGGGAGGUCGUCAGGAUCGGAUCGUUGUCAA